rnacentral:rRNA from 1 species
UGGAGGAAAGCAGGGGAUCGUAAGACCUUGCGCUUUUGGAGUGGCCGAUGCCUGAUUAGCUAGUUGGUGGGGUAAAGGCCUACCAAGGCGACGAUCAGUAGUUGGUCUGAGAGGACGACCAGCCACACUGGGACUGAGACACGGCCCAGACUCCUACGGGAGGCAGCAGUGGGGAAUUUUGGACAAUGGGCGAAAGCCUGAUCCAGCAAUGCCGCGUGAGUGAAGAAGGCCUUCGGGUUGUAAAGCUCUUUCAGUCGAGAAGAAAAGAUUGUGAUGAAUAAUCACAGUUCAUGACGGUAUCGACAGAAGAAGCACCGGCUAACUACGUGCCAGCAGCCGCGGUAAUACGUAGGGUGCAAGCGUUAAUCGGAAUUACUGGGCGUAAAGGGUGCGCAGGCGGCUUUGUAAGUCAGAUGUGA